rnacentral:lncRNA from 10 species
UCUGCCUCCCGCGGCGGGCCGGGUCUCCAGGGAGGACCUGAGUUUUCUUCACCCAUGGUCAGGGAAGCGCCAUCGCCCUGGCUUUGAGGCUGGGGCCUCCGGGGAGGUUCCGGUAGGGGCUUUGAAGAGGCCGCUGUUUUUGCAAGGCCGAGACGGCGGGCCCUGCGCAGGCCGCCCUAUUCCGCGCCCUCAGGGCGUCAGUAUCCGCCUGAGGCCGGAUACCCCCUCUGGGCCCGGAUGCCCCCGCUGGCCCCGGAGCAUCCUCGGCGCUGCCCUCCCAGAGCCCCGCAGAGGCUGAGGUGGCGCGGGGGCGGCCCCGGCUCCGCGAGAAGCGGCGGCAGCGAGGGCUGGAGGACCCGGGCUACGGGGCUCCGGGGCGUCUGGCCUGGUUGGGACUGAGCCCAUCCAGGGACUGGGACUCUGGGAUUCUGGUGUAGGUGGAUCCGGGGCAGGCUCAGGACCAAGUCCCUCUCCUUCCACCAAGGAGCGCCCAGAGGCCGGCGGGAGCUCCAGGUUCACCUCCUCCUCCUCCAGGAAAUCUCACUUCCAACUGGAUGUCUGGAUGAACUACUGAAAGCUGCUGAGUGUCCUGCAGCAGCUUGACUACCACACAAAUGAAUCCACUCAAAUGUUGGCAAGUGGAGCAGAGUCCCAGGACAGGUACAGAAACACCCCCAGUUCAAGGAUCUUCACACCUGGAUUUAGGCCUACUCCUGCAACUACCCCAGAACCUGGAAUUUAUAUGUUCAACAUGGAGCCAUCCCAGCCAUGACAACAGAGAAUGUACCACUCUCACGAGGCGCUUGGAAACCACCGUGAAUUGGACCGCACUGGGAAACACAGAUGAGGAAAGUCAACAACGCUUUGUCCUUCAGUGCCUGGCUCCUUUUUCAGCUCGUCUUGCGACUCCCGGACGCCUGUGAGGCUCUAAUUCCCUGGGUCCCAUUGCCAUGUCUCUGGAUUUGCGAAGAUCCACCGCACCUUCUGUGGAACUCCCGUGUCGGUGAACUUUUGUGCCACGGCCCCUAAUUCUGCCCAUGGUCAUCCGCACCUGCACGACUUAGGGUCCAUGUUCCUUGGACGGGAAGAGACAGGCAGGAGUCGGAAUGAUGAACCAGCACACUGGGGCGUUUUCUCAUGUAGCCCAAGUGACCCCAUGGUCUUCUCGAGCUUUGGAACCAGUCGCGUCCCCUUUGACACUGCACCCGGCUCCCAGUCUCUCAAUCUUGUUGGCCCUCCGGCGAUCUCCCGUUGGAUGAAUUGCUCCUGCUGAAACUCCAGUCCCCUUUGAUUUGCGCUUCAUUAAUUAUUCAUGAUUCAGGUUGGAAGGCCUGCUGACGACCCCCUGUGGCCGUUCUCUGAGCUUUCCUGUCACAUCGUUUCCUUCCACGCUCUUUGGUUCCUUAUGGUCCUGCUCCCUCUGCUGUCAGAGGAGCAGAGAGUUGAUCUUAUUCAUUCUGGAUACGGAUACUUUCUAGGUGAUCUGGAUAAUCAAGAUAACGACCCUCAACAGCGGCGGAGAGGGAGCAGCCAGUUGGUGUGUCUCAGAAAAUCCCACUGAGUUCCGAGGCCUCCUAGAUGUGGAAUCCUGCUGAGAGUUGUUCCCAGGUCAGAGAAUGGAGAGAGCCUGUGCAUGAUGGGACAUCCCCGCCUAGAUCUUUCAGUGAGUCUCUACCUCAGCUACUCUUAGGAUCAGGGGGAGAACCAUGGUGUCAGACAUCCGGAAAGAAGACGGGAUGAAUGUUUUACCUCUGAAGUACAUCCCAAAUGUGGGAGUUAACUUCAGCUUUGCUGGGGUCUAUUUGGCCAGUGAAACUCUGCCUGGUUCCUUCGCACAUCCGGAAGCCACUUCACGGGGGGCCGUCGCAACUGGAACCACACACUUGGCAUCGGCGGUUGAGCCAAAUGGGGACUCGUGGUGCAAGCAACGCUCCCCACGUGUUAGCGUGCGUGAGAUGCGGUUGGCGGGAUUUUACUAGGUGCGUGUUGGUAGAGUGGGGCUGAGGUUUUCUUGCUCCUGUGGAUGUAUAGCAAGUCAAAGGUCCUGCCCAGCCCUGCGGUCCCCUCAGUCAACUCUGUUUCGGAGACGUAACGAUUUGGAUUGCCAACAAGUCAAGAAAUGUUCAAGCCCUUGGAUGUAGGGUAAAGAAAGAGAGAUCAGACUGUCACUGUGUCUAUGUAGAAGGGGAAGACAUAAGAGACUCCAUUUUGAAAAAGACCUGUAGUUUAAACAAUUGCUUUGCUGAGAUGUUGUUCAUUUGUUGCCUUGCCUCAUCCACUUUGCCCCAGCCCCUUUGACCCAACUUGGAGCUCAGAAAACCUGUGUUGUAUAAAAUCGAGGUUUAGGGGAUCUAGGGCUGUGCAGGAUGUGCUUUGUUAACCAAAUGUUUACAAGCAGUAUACUUGGUAAAAGUCAUUGCCAUUCUCUAGUUUCAAUAAACCAGGGGCACUAUGCACCGUGGAAAGCCGCAGCGACCUCUACCCUUGAAAGCAGGUUAUUGUCCAAGGUUUCUCCCCAUGUAACAGUCUGAAAUAUGGCCCUGUGGGAUGGGGAAUACCUGACUGUCCCCCAGCCUGAGACCCGUAAAGGGUCUGUGCCGAGGUGGAGUAGUCAAAGAGGAAAGCCUCUUGCAAUUUAGAUGGAGGACAGCCACUGUCUCCCGCAUCCCCCCUUGCCUCCCUGGCUCUUAGGACCCGCAUCGCAGGUUGUGAGGCACUCCCCCCGUUUCGGGUUGUAAGAGCCAAACCCUCUUGCCCCCCUGGCUCUUAGUUUCCCCCAUCGCAGCGGGGUGAGUCACGUCCUGCUAUGCUUGGGGUAAGAGCCAGCCCCUCUUGCCCCCCUGGCUCUCAGGACCCCCAUCGCAGUGGUGUGAGGCACGCCCCUUGAUGCGGGUAUUAAGAGCCUUCCCAUCUUACCUCCUGGCUCUUAGGACCCCCAUCGCAGGGGGUGAGGCACGCCCCGCCAUGCGCAGAGUAAGAGCUAACCCCUCUUGCCCCCCUGGUUUUUAGGAUCCGCGGUGGACUCACAGCCUGUUUAUCAUAUUGUGAGUAAUAUCGUCUCCCGCUCUGGAGAUUGUGAACUGUUUCACCCACCAGUGUUCACCCCGGCGUACAGAGGUUGUACAACCGUCUGUAUUGGGAGUCAUAUCAUCCUCUCCCUCUCUGAAUAUUAAGAACAGUAUCACAGGGGUGUUUCUACUCCCUCGGAUAUCGCGUGUCAUAUCCUCCUCUCCCACGUUGCAAUUACAAACAAUAUCAGUGGGGGCGUGUCCAACUUCUGUGAUACUGAAAGCAAUAUCAUCCUCUUCCCUCCAGGAUCGUGGGAACAAUAUCCUUGGGGGUGUCCACUUUCUGCCAUAUGUGUAGUCAUAUCACCCCCUCCGCCUUGGAAUAUUAUUAAGAACCACGUCACACGGGGGUGUACACUUCCUACGAUGUUGGGAGUAAUAGCAUUCUCUUCUUCCAUGAAUAUUAGGAACAAAAUCACCGGGUGGAUGCACACCCAGUGCUAUAUUGGGAGUAAUGUCAUACUCCACCCCCUGGAGAUUAUAUUCGGAUCAAUAUCACCGGCUGGGUGUGCACCUGCUGCGAUAUUGAACGUAAUAUCAUGCUCUCUCCCUCCCUGAACAUUAGGAACAAUAUCACAGGUGGGUGUACACCCACUGAGGUAUUAGGGCAUACUAUUAGUAUGAAUUAUUCCUUGUUUUUUAUUAACAUGAAUAUGAAUGGCCGAUAUUAAUAUUAAUAUUAAGAAGUAAUUGCUAAUAAAAAGUUCUCAGAUUAUUAAUAUUAAUAGUAAUAUUAGCUCCUAAUAAUUA